ACCAAGUCAUAUUAUCCAUCUUCUAAUAACAAAAAUGUUAAAAGACUCAAAACAAUAAAGUUUUACAUCAAAUUCAAUCAUCAUCAUAAUCAAUAUCAUCAUUCUCAAACAUUUCAUCAUCUUUCUCUUUCUCUUGUCCGUCUUCAACAAAAUAUAUUUCCUCCUCUUCGUCAAUGGCAAGAGAUGAGCUUGAGACAUAUGCACUCAUUUUUUCCUUCGUCAUUUGUCUUGUAUAUAUCUGUAUUUCUCCAACACCUAAGGCUCAUGCCACACCUCCUCAUAUCUGUCAUCUUCAAAUACAAGCUCAUCUUCGGCAUCUUGCAAGCUAGCACUCACUUCCCCUACCAACCACUCAUUUGAAUCAUCAAUAUCUUGUCAUGAAAUUGGAUCAAUGUUAUUUUGCAAAUUGGAUCAAUAUCUUAUCUUCAAUGCUUGAUUAUACUUUAUAUAAACAAGAUCAUGUAAUCGUUGAUGCUUACACCAAUUUCUUCUCUUUGUGUGAAUCUAUCAUGUUAUAUAAUUUAAA
rnacentral:lncRNA from 1 species